rnacentral:rRNA from 1 species
GAUAAACGCUGGCGGCGUGCCUAACACAUGCAAGUGGAGCGACGAACCGGGCUUCGGCCCGGGGCAAAGCCGCGAACGGGUGAGUAACACGUGGGUUACCUGCCCCGAUGAUCGGGACAACCCGAGGAAACUCGGGCUAAUACCGAAUGUGCCCUCCGGCCUCAAGGCCGCUGGGGAAAGGAAGCUUCGGCCUCCGCAUCGGGAUGGGCCCGCGGCCCAUUAGCUUGUUGGUGGGGUAAUGGCCUACCAAGGCGACGAUGGGUAGCUGGUCUGAGAG